CCUACGGGAGGCAGCAGUGGGGAAUUUUGGACAAUGGGCGCAAGCCUGAUCCAGCAAUGCCGCGUGAGUGAAGAAGGCCUUCGGGUUGUAAAGCUCUUUUGUCAGGGAAGAAACGGCUGAGGUUAAUACCUUUGGCUAAUGACGGUACCUGAAGAAUAAGCACCGGCUAACUACGUGCCAGCAGCCGCGGUAAUACGUAGGGUGCAAGCGUUAAUCGGAAUUACUGGGCGUAAAGCGUGCGCAGGCGGUUUUGUAAGUCUGACGUGAAAUCCCCGGGCUCAACCUGGGAAUUGCGUUGGAGACUGCAAGGCUGGAGUCUGGCAGAGGGGGGUAGAAUUCCACGUGUAGCAGUGAAAUGCGUAGAGAUGUGGAGGAACACCGAUGGCGAAGGCAGCCCCCUGGGUCAAGACUGACGCUCAUGCACGAAAGCGUGGGGAGCAAACAGGAUUAGAUACCCUGGUAGUCCACGCCCUAAACGAUGUCUACUAGUUGUCGGGUCUUAAUUGACUUGGUAACGCAGCUAACGCGUGAAGUAGACCGCCUGGGGAGUCGGUCGCAGAUUAAAACUCAAAGGAUUGACGGCUGGAGAGAGACGACGACGACGACGAGGGAGGAGG
rnacentral:rRNA from 1 species